AAAGGCUUGAGUCUGAGCCGACCCUCACCCAUCUGACUUCUUCUUCUCAAGCUGCAGCAAGUCGUCUGUGCACAAAGUCGCCACCAUGGGUAUGAUGAAAGACGCAAUUGCAAAGCUCAGUGAAUGCUUUACCAAGUAUGCUGGACAAGAUGGAGACAAGACAACCAUGUCCAAGUCUGAAGUUGCGAAUAUGUUCAAAGCUGAGUUUCCUGAAUUAGUUGACGCAUUUCAGAAUGACAGUGCUGGCAAAUGUAAGCAGCCGGAGAAGGUGACCGAAUUGUUCAAAAUGCUGGAUGCUGAUUGUGAUGGCACCGUUGAUUUCUGUGAAUUCAUGACCUUUGUAGCAGUCCUGUGUAUGGUGUGCCAUGGAUGAUCUCAAAUGGGACGGAAAACGGAGCUCCAACCUACAACUAUAACUAAAAUAUUCAAACUUUCCCAGCCAGAAACCAAAUAUUUUAAUUGUCAUCAAAUGUGAAAUGCUGAUAUGAAAUGUCAAAACCGACUUUAAAAAAAUGGAACAAAUAAAGAUUUGUGUUCCCUU